CCCUCAUCUUCCCCUCCUUUC
rnacentral:miRNA from 1 species